CCGCUGCUCUGCCCUCGUGUGAAACGGGCAUAACUUUGCAACUCAAAUAUCAUGAACUAAGCGUAAUACUUUCUGUUGCCCUGGUACUUUUCACUCUUUUCUCACCACGAUAUUCGUCACUUAUUCCAGAUGUCUUCAAUUACAAAAAAAAUAAUAUGGUAUAGGUCCUCGGUAAAGCAUGGGUCCGGAUGACUCAUGGUUUCAUAAGAGUAUUAUUUAUUCCUUACUGGAUACUAGUUACGAACAAUCAUACAGGUAUCAGUAAAGGUAAAAAUCCUAUUACUUGGAUACCAGUAUCCUACGAGGAUCAUUUUUUAUUUUUAUGUAACUGGUUACAAAACUCCGGUUCCAUACGCGGCCGAAGGGUUUAUUUACAUCAUAAACAAAAACCUCUUUGACAUGCCAAGGUCCCGGGCGCAAGCAAGCUAAUGUAUACCUAACUUGUAAGUGUCAAGUUUAUUUUGACAGUGUCUUAUGACAGACGUUUUUAGUUGUCCCUGGCGAUGUGGGGCUGUGGGCACGACUACAGUCAGAACAAGACAAGUCUGCAACGAUUUUGAUAGCACACGCAGAGCAAGUGUUAUUUUUCUACGUCAUAAUUUCAUAGAUGUUUGACGUGCCCCUCCCCCGCAAAAAUCAGUAGACUGUAACAGGCUUGUUUUGUACAGAAAAUUCUCCAAUUGUCAAAUCCUCCAAGGUUAAAAUCGACAAUCUAGUCCAAACAUCUUAGAAAGGCGUCAUCAUAGUCUAUGAAUAAAGCACUAAAAAAUAAAAGUGACAUUUGUCAUUUUAUAUCGGGUGUCAUUUAAAAUCAUAAAUUUAUUUACAGAAAAUAAUUCUAAAAGAAAAUCUACCAAACUAAUUUACAAUAAAAACCAUAAAUUCCCAAGAUUUGAUCAGUGUUCCGUCCUAUUGACAAGGAGACAAAUCAUGAAUGGACCAGAGCAACUAUGUUGAGCUACCUUCUUAUAAUAAUUAAGAAGUGGAGGGCGAUCCUUAUUUUAACAGUCGGAAACUUAUGCCUGACGAAACCGAGACGUUAUACAAAAUGCAUUUAUGGUAAGAUAUUGUGUAUACAUAGAAAUGUAUAUUCCCAAUUAUUUCCAAAUCAGUUCUACUGAUCUAGUUGCAGUUAUAUGUAAAGCAUUUGUGAUACACCAGCGAUGGUUAUUAGAUGGUUUUGAGGUGACAUUGUUAUAAUUGUCGAUUUUUUUAAAUUUAAACUUAAACUUCUUAAAGACUACACAUGCGCAGGCAUGUAUGUUCGUAACAAGUAAGUCAAAGAUAUGUAAGCCUAUAUCUUCUUUAAGUAAUUUAAGAUCAUAUGAAUUUAUCCUCGAAAAGUCUCGAUUUUCUCAUUAUGAAAACGCUACCCACUGAGUGAUUAACCUUGAUACUUUUUUAUUUGUUUUGAAAUUCGACCAACAUUUGUAAUAGUGUCAUAUGAUUAAAUAAAUGAAUAAAUUACAAAUAUACUGAUAUCCCAAGAAACAGAAAAAAUAAUCGCAUAAUAUUGCCGAGUUAUGUCUGUGGGUUAGCUUAGAGAAGAACCACUAAUUACGAGUACAUACUCGUAUUACCAAUACUCUGUCUAUGAAGUAGGCGAGCCUGGCUUCGAAUCCUCGUACGGGAAUUUAAUUGAUAUGUUUUUUGCAAAUACCUUGGUAACCUUUUUGUUACGAUGUGAGAACUGUUACCUAAAACUAAUGUAAGUACUUUUGUCAAGGUAGAGAACUAUAGUACAAUGGCUACAAAUAUACAUAAAUAGUUGGUACCAAAUAUGAGUCGUGCGUAACAGAAAUAAAAUAUUUUUUAUGUCAUAUUCCCCUAUAGGUACUAGGAAACUUUAAUGUGUAACUCAUCAUCCCUUAAUGUGUGUUUUUUUUUUUGCAUUGCUUAGACGAAAAGCUCUUCAUUAGUUUGGCUACGGCGGUGAUCAGGUGUAAUCGGAGCGAUGUUGUCAAAUUGAAACGGAGAUAAUUUAUAAUUAUAUUGGUGACAAUAUUGGCUUGUUUUUAUUUUGUAAGUAGGUGUGUAGUUUUAACCUAAAUACUUAUUUAAAUAAUCUUCAGAGUGGUACUGUCAGCAUCUAUCAUAGUGGAUAAAACAACGCGCCAAAAGUAUCUGCCACCAUCGAACACUUUUCCAAUAUAUCUGUACAGUUCGCGUUACAAAGUAUUUUGUCGCAGUUGAUUUUUUAGGGUUCCGUACCCAAAGGGUAAAGCGGGACCCUAUUACUUAGACUCCGCUGUCCGGCCGUCCGUCCGUCUGUUCGUCCGUCCGUCCGUCUGUCCGUCCGUCCGCCCGUCUGUCCGUUCGUCCGUCCGUCCAUCUGUGCGUCCUUUCGUCCGCCCGUCCGUCUGUUCGUCUGUCCGUCCGUCUGUCCGUCUGUCCGUCCGUGCGUCUGUCUGUCUGUCCGUCCGUCCGUCUGUCACCAGGCUGUAUCUCAUGAACCGUGAUAGUGAGAAAGUUGAAAUUUGCACAGAUAAUGUAUUUCUGUUGCCGCUAUAGCAACAUAUACCUACUAAAAAACAAAAUUAAAUAAAUAUUUAAGGGGCCUCCCAUACAACAAACAUAUUUUUUUGCCGUUUUAUAGAUAAUUGUACGGAACCCUUCGUAGAGUCCAACCCGCACUUGGCCGGUUUUUUGUGUAUAGAGACGUAUCUCUUUAGGUUAAGUUAUAUGUAAAGCAUUUGUGAUACACCAGCGAUGGUUCUUAGAUGGUUGUGAGGUGACAUUGUUGUAAUUAUCACUGUUUUUUUUUUAAUUUAUACUUAUAGUACUUAGUAGUAGCUUCUUAAAGACUACACAUGCGUAGGCAUGUAUGUCCAAUGUGUGUAUGAAUGUAUGUAGAAUGAUAGCUACUUUUGAUGCUGACUAUACGUAUAAGUAGCGGCUGUAGAGUUCGGAACAUUUGACUAGGUAUAUCUAAUAAGUGUAAUGUUAAA